rnacentral:rRNA from 1 species
AAUGAACGCUGGCGGCGUGCUUAACACAUGCAAGUCGCACGAGAACGUUUCAGCUUGCUGAGACUAGUACAGUGGCGCACGGGUGAGUAACGCGUGGGUAAUCUACCUCCGAAUUGGGGAUAACAUUGCGAAAGCGGUGCUAAUACCGAAUAAUAUCCCCGGGACCCCGGUCUUGGUGAUCAAAGGUGGCCUCUACAUGUAAGCUACCGUUUGGAGAUGAGCCCGCGUAACAUUAGCUAGUUGGUAGGGUAAUGGCCUACCAAGGCUUCGAGGGUUAGAUGGUCUGAGAAGAUGAUCAGCCACACUGGAACUGACACACGGUCCAGACUCCUACGGGAGGCAGCAGUGAGGAAUUUUGCGCAAUGGGGGAAACCCUGACGCAGCAACGCCGCGUGAGUGAUGAAGGCCUUCGGGUCGUAAAGCUCUGUCAAGUGGGAAGAACCUGCUUUGUGAUAAUACCACGAGGCACUGACGGUACCACUGAAGGAAGCACCGGCUAACUCCGUGCCAGCCGCCGCGGUAAAAC